rnacentral:rRNA from 1 species
GGGGAAUUUGGGUCAUGGGCGCAGGCCUGAACCGCCAAGUAGCGUGAAGGAUGACUGCCCUAUGGGUUGUAAACUUCUUUUAUAUGGGAAUAAAGUUUUCCACGUGUGGAAUUUUGUAUGUACCAUAUGAAUAAGGAUCGGCUAACUCCGUGCCAGCAGCCGCGGUAAUACGGAGGAUCCGAGCGUUAUCCGGAUUUAUUGGGUUUAAAGGGAGCGUAGGUGGACAGUUAAGUCAGUUGUGAAAGUUUGCGGCUCAACCGUAAAAUUGCAGUUGAUACUGGCUGUCUUGAGUACAGUAGAGGUGGGCGGAAUUCGUGGUGUAGCGGUGAAAUGCUUAGAUAUCACGAAGAACUCCGAUUGCGAAGGCAGCUCACUGGACUGCAACUGACACUGAUGCUCGAAAGUGUGGGUAUCAAACAGGAUUAGAUACCCUGGUAGUCCACACAGUAAACGAUGAAUACUCGCUGUUUGCGAUAUACAGUAAGCGGCCAAGCGAAAGCAUUAAGUAUUCCACCUGGGGAGUACGCCGGCAACGGUGAAACUCAAAGGAAUUGACGGGGGCCCGCACAAGCGGAGGAACAUGUGGUUUAAUUCGAUGAUACGCGAGGAACCUUACCCGGGCUUAAAUUGCAAAUGAAUAAUCUGGAAACAGGUUAGCCGCAAGGCAUUUGUGAAGGUGCUGCAUGGUUGUCGUCAGCUCCUGCC